GUUCUUCUCCGGCUGAACAGCGGCGAGCCCGCGGAUCUGGCGUCCCGGGAGUGGAAGGGGAUCUAGCGUCUGGGAGUGGAAGAAACGAGGAGCAUCCACCCGAUGGGGGAGGAGGUGGCGCCCAGGGAGAGGGGUGGCGGCAGCCCCUCUGCCUACCACCGAGCUCUGGGAGAAACAUGGAGGCGGCAGGGAGCAUGGGAGCGAUAGCGGUGACUGGAUGCCAGGAGCUUGACGAGGUCCAUGCCGGCAGCACCCUCGCCCUCAACCUUACUGGCGGCGUGGCUGUACAAACGACGCCGGUCGACGGUGGUAUGGCACCGCAUCCCUCCCCUUCCCCCUCUCCCCUCCUCUUCAAAAUAUUAGUUGGACCAAUUCCCGAUAGCCGUCUUCUUUACCCUGUUUCAAAAUCAAGAAAUCCUGGUUCCUAAUAUGUGAUGUUUUCUUUCUAAGGGGCUGGAGAAUCAGGAAAGUCCAUGAUAUCUAUGCAG
rnacentral:lncRNA from 1 species